AGCUUGAAUCCUUCCUUUAGCAAAUGCACGGUGUCAUUUACGUGUUAAACAGUUGAACAAUGAUCGGGAGAGUGAACAACAGUUAUUUAAAUGAAACUACAGGUAGGUGAAACCCACAUACCAUGCUUAUGUCGAGUAUACAAAUUAAGCAUUGCAUACAAGACUUUAUAAACAAGAAAUGCACGAUUCAUCAAGGCACUGUACAAUUUUUUUUAAACAUGGUGUCAUCGUGGAGAUAACUCUGUAUAUGAGUUGUUAGCGAUUCAUACACCUACCUACCUCCGACACAGUCAAACACUGAUCCGUUCAACAACAGGCGAUGAGGAGGUUGAAGCUGUCUAAACAUGUGCAGCCAUACUGCAGGUAAUUCAUUGGUCAAGUCAAUAAAUUAACUUUAUCUUUACAUCUAUGCGUGUACUUAACUGUGGAGUAGCUGUUGUUUGUGCUAUUAGACCACACAUAGAGUGCAUAUUUGGCCAUUAGUUAACACUUCAUAGAGUCUGUUUUGAUAGGGUGUUGUUAAGACUUGUGGGACUCCUCUUGGUCCAGUCGCAGUACUUUUGUCCUGGAUGCUGUAAAAACACUUGCUGUGGUUUGGUAAAUUAACAGAGAGCCCCCUAAUGGAGUAAUUACACAGAGCCAAACAUCUAUUUUUCACCUGUGCUCUGCCAUUACUCUCCGUCCCCCAUCCACUCCAUUGGAAGUCACUUACUCUCCUUACAGUGAGUUAUCAUUGACUGCCAUUUAGGCGUUCUGGAGCAAUUUGUCUUACUGAGGCUGGGGCCGGCCUCAUUGCAGUGAACAAUCAUUCUCCACCAAUAUAUAAAACAUUCAUAGGGAAAAAAGGAGAAAGAAUACAGCACAAACAGAUAGUGGAGAGUGGCUAAUAGAUACUAGGAAAGAGACAGACAAGAAAAAUAAUGUAGUCGAUUAAAGGGAGAGGUAAAUGCCGGUACCUUGGCGGUACAAAUGUAUAGAGGCUCUGCCAUAGGACAAAUCUGCCUUCCGGAACUCCAGCUCUAUCCGUGAAAUGUGGGGGCUACGGUUGUUGAAUUUAAUAUAAAUAAACACUUGAUACUGCAUAGCUACUUUUCUAAUCAUAAAUCACAUAAAAAAAUAUAUACACUCAUUUACUCUCAUUUUAAUAUAGUUGUACUCUCUUUUGAGAUACUCACUGAACAUUUUUCAUGAGACUGUAGUAAGGUUUUUGACAAGAUAUAGACAAGGUUUCAGUAAUCCAGACUUCUUAUAUAAUGGAUGUACUAUUCUAGCCUCUGACAGAUGUAGUGUCUGUUUUCAUUUCUUCUUGACACUUAUUUUAUCGAGUAAAGAUAUUGAUUGGCUCAAGGGUCCACUCCUCUAGUUUUCCAUGUCUAGAUGAGUUGUCGACUUAAAGGUAAGGAGGGGAAGUUGCGGACACCAUGGUCCUGAGAGCACUGGAGAAGGGCUCACUUUGAAUCAACCAGAUAAGACCUGUGUCUACCGUGUUGUACAGUAGUAGUCACAAUAGUACAAGCGGUAUCAUGAUGUGGGUAGGAAUAGGCUAUUUCUCACAUACUGUAUGAAUGGAUAUUGGCUUUCUUUUAAAACACAGACCAUUAAGUUACAUGCUAUUGAUAGCUUUGCUUUGUAAAUGCCUCUGUUAGUUUAGCUUAGAAACGAAGCAUUAUUGCUCAAAUUAUAGACACACAUUGUGCUUUUUGUGGAUUGUAAAACAUACUGUAUAACUUCUUGAAUAUCUUUUUUUUUUUGAAAUUGUGUAUUGUGGUUAUUCAAGCAGCAUACUGUACUAUUGACUGUCUUUGUUGUGGAGGGGAGUCUCAAAUUCAAUCCAGACCAUCAAUUUUACCUUGGACCUGAACGGUAAGAAUUAUUACCUGCCUGAGAAAUCAAUCAACUUAAGACUUCCCAUCAUGUUACUUAGCUUCUUGCCACAUAAGUUGAACUAACUAUAGCUAACAAUCAGACUCAACAUUCAACACAACAUGUUUUGUCAACGUCUCCGGAAAGUUCUAGCCUAAACGUUUGACAUGGUAGGCAAGAGAUGUCGCAGCUUUAUGCAUAGCCUGUCUGACAUGUGUAUCCCAUUCAACCUGGCUGCAUUCCCCUGAAGGGUUAGUAGUGUGCUUAACUGUUUUGUUAGAUUACUCACUCUCACUGCUUAACACAAUGACAAAUAACCAUUCUUUUUUUCUUGCAGUGAUAAUCCGGACAAUUUAAACAUUUCUUACAAGCAGAAGUGAAACCAUUAAUCCUGUGAGAUUCUUCUGAUAAGUGGUGACUGUGAAGUAAUGGCCAUGUCGCCUAGAAAAAUAAAAAAUAUGUGGACAAUUAAAACAAGAUGGACAUUAUCUGGCAAGUCCCUACUCCCCUUUUCUUUAGCAGUAUUGUAAUUGAUCUGUCCCUUUGUUACUAAACUGAAUAUUGAGUCCUGGCUUUUUGUUCAUUAUCUGUGGAUUUUAACAUGGUGCAUAUUUGUCAAGUUCGAAAAUCAUGUAAAAAAGGAAACCAGUGAUUAUUUUCUUCACAUAUACAAAUGCUGUUCUGAAGAAAAGUCAAUUCUCAUGUCACCUGCUAAAGUUUCUGGCUAUAAUGUGUUGACCUUUCCAGGCACCCCUGUUGUUUAGUUAUUUGAAAGUACUUUGACAAGCUGCAGUAUAUGACAGGAGUAUAUUGUAUCUGGAAUUAAGUCCAUUCACAUUUAAUUGUCCUUAAAAACUCUGUCAAACUUUUGCUCUGGGAGUUUGCUUUGCCCUAGAAAAUCAAUGUGACAUGUUUGGGCCGGGGGGGGGUAAUAAUCUGGUUCCCUGACCAUAGUGAACACCCUAAUUUCUGUGGCUUGGCAAAGAGAUUUAGUGUGUUGAAUUAUGGUAAUUAAAGGUUGAAUUAUAAAAGUUUUACAUUUUCACCCUCAAUUGUGUGAGCAAAAAGUGUAUGGAAUCAUAUAUAAACUUUUAAGUUGA